rnacentral:rRNA from 1 species
UACGUAGGGUGCGAGCGUUGUUCGGAUUUACUGGGCGUAAAGGGCGCGCAGGCGGCUCAUCAAGUCAGGCGUGAAAGCCCCGGGCUUAACCUGGGAGGUGCGUCUGGGACUGGUGGGCUAGAGUUCGGGAGAGGAGCGUGGAAUUCCCAGUGUAGAGGUGAAAUUCGUAGAUAUUGGGAAGAACACCGGUGGCGAAGGCGGCGCUCUGGACCGAGACUGACGCUGAGGCGCGAAAGCGUGGGGAGCAAACAGG